rnacentral:rRNA from 1 species
AAUAGAUACCCCGGUAGUCCACGCCGUAAACAAUGAGUGCUAAGUGUUAGAGGGUUUCCGCCCUUUAGUGCUGCAGCUAACGCAUUAAGCACUCCGCCUGGGGGGGUACGGCCGCAAGGCUGAAACUCAAAGGAAUUGACGGGGGCCCGCACAAGCGGUGGAGCAUGUGGUUUAAUUCGAAGCAACGCGAAGAACCUUACCAGGUCUUGACAUCCUCUGCCAACCCUAGAGAUAGGGCGUUCCCCUUCGGGGGACAGAGUGACAGGUGGUGCAUGGUUGUCGUCAGCUCGUGUCGUGAGAUGUUGGGUUAAGUCCCGCAACGAGCGCAACCCUUGAUCUUAGUUGCCAGCAUUCAGUUGGGCACUCUAAGGUGACUGCCGGUGACAAACCGGAGGAAGUGGGGAUGACGUCAAAUCAUCGAUGCCCCUUAUGACCUGGGCUACACACGUGCUACAAUGGAUGGUACAAAGAGCUGCGAACCCGCGAGGGUAAGCGAAUCUCAUAAAGCCAUUCUCAGUUCGGA